GUGGGGAAUAUUGGACAAUGGGCGAAAGCCUGAUCCAGCCAUGCCGCGUGUGUGAAGAAGGUCUUCGGAUUGUAAAGCACUUUAAGUUGGGAGGAAGGGCAGUAAGUUAAUACCUUGCUGUUUUGACGUUACCGACAGAAUAAGCACCGGCUAACUUCGUGCCAGCAGCCGCGGUAAUACGAAGGGUGCAAGCGUUAAUCGGAAUUACUGGGCGUAAAGCGUGCGCAGGCGGCUUUGUAAGACGGAUGUGAAAGCCCCGGGCUCAACCUGGGAAGUGCAUUCGUGACUGCAUGACUAGAGUACGGUAGAGGGUAGUGGAAUUUCCUGUGUAGCGGUGAAAUGCGUAGAUAUAGGAAGGAACACCAGUGGCGAAGGCGACUACCUGGACUGAUACUGACACUGAGGUGCGAAAGCGUGGGGAGCAAACAGGAUUAGAUACCCGUGUAGUCC
rnacentral:rRNA from 1 species